rnacentral:rRNA from 1 species
UGAGGAACCUGCCUCGGAGUGGGGAAUAACAGACCGAAAGGCCUGCUAAUACCGCAUGAUGCAGUUGGACCGCAUGGUCCUGACUGCCAAAGAUUUAUCGCUCUGAGGUGGCCUCGCGUCUGAUUAGCUUGUUGGCGGGGUAAUGGCCCACCAAGGCGACGAUCAGUAGCCGGACUGAGAGGUUGGCCGGCCACAUUGGGACUGAGACACGGCCCAGACUCCUACGGGAGGCAGCAUG